rnacentral:rRNA from 1 species
UACGCCAGCCGGUGGAUAACUCGGCUUGGGGGCCGAAGAAGGGCGUGGCAAGCUGCGAAAAGCCCCGGGUAGCCGCAAGCAGGCGUUGAACCGGGGAUGCCCGAAUGGGAUUUCCCGACAUCCCGCGCUUCGGCGUGGGAUGUCGCUCCACUGCCUUGAGCUGUGGAGCGGGAACCGGCCGAACGGAAGCAUCCAAGUAGGCCGAGGAAAAGAAAUCAAAACGAGACUCCCCUAGUAACGGCGAGUGAACGGGGACCAGGCCAAACCGAACCCGUGUGGGAAACCAUGCGGGGAUGUGGAGUGUGGGCCAGCCGCCCUCCUGUGCCCAGCGACCCGAAGCGACCUGGAAGGGUCCGCCAUAGAGGGUGACAGCCCCGUAGGGGAAGCUGGGAGUGGAGAUGGGCUGGUUCCCGAGUACCGCACCUCGGAUAUGGUGCGGGAAGGCAGGAGCCACUGGCUUCUAAGCCUAAGUACCUCCCAAGACCGAUAGCGCAACAGUACCGUGAGGGAAAGUUGAAAACUACCCCGAGAGGGGGGUGAAAAGCGGUUGAAACCGGCUGGUAACGGACGAGGGCGGCGCGCAAGGUACUCCGUCCGAACACGCCGCGUAGGCGUGGAGGGCGGAUUAUCCGGCGUCGUCCGCUCCGUCUUGAAACACGGGCCGGGGAGUUCACCGUCGUGGCGAGCUUAACCGCGGAAAGCGGGUAGGCGCGGGGAAACCGAGAAGCCCGCAGCCGACUCUCGUCGGCGAGGGGCCGGGUCCGAACAGGGCCCGUAGUCACGGCGGUGAGGCUAGAAACCGGGCGAUCUAGCCCUGGGUAGGGUGAAGCCGGGCGAAAGCUCGGUCGAGGCCCGAACGCGUCCUGACGUGCAAUUCGGUGCGUUGACCUGGGGCUAGGGGCUAAAAACCAAUCUAGCCCGGUGAUAGCUAGUUCCCCCCGAAGUGUCUCGCAGGACAGCCUCGGCGGAGGUGGUCCGCGGGGUAGAGCACCGAUGGGGUGGUAAGGGCUCGAAAGGGCCCGCCAUCCUUUCGAACUCCGAAUCCGCGGACGCCGUAGAUGCCGGGAGUGGGGUGUGCGGGGUAAGCUCGCACGCCGAGAGGGGAACAACCCAGACCACGGGUUAAGGCCCCAAAGUGCCCGCUAAGUGACAAACCAAAGGGCGUCUCCCUCCUAAGACAGCGGGGAGGUAGGAAUAGAAGCUGCCAUCCUCUAAGGAGUGCGUAAACAGCUCACCCGCCGAGGAGGGGGGCCCCGAAAAUUGACGGGUCUAAGCGGGCCGCCGAAACCCGGGUUCACCCAGUUGUUGCUGGGUGGAGGUAGGGGGGCGUGGCGGUUGGGUGGAAGCAGGGCCGUGAGGUCCUGUGGACCGGCCGCCAAUGUAGAUCCCGGUGGUAGUAACAGCGGAGCGGGGUGAGAAUCCCCGCCGCCGAAGGGGCAAGGGUCUCCCGGCAACGCGUCGUCGGCCGGGAGUAAGCCGGUCCUAAGCCCGACCUUAACCGGGUAGGGCGAAAGGGAAACCGGUUAAUAUUCCGGUGCCUCCGGAGUACGUGCGGCGACGCAAGGCCGGUGUCUGACGCUUCGGGGUAGGCUGAGCGGGGCCGUAGCCCUGUCUAAACGCAUAAGCCUGGGGAGUGGCGUAAAGCCGAGAACCAGGUGAAAGCGUGAACGGCCGCCCGUAUGGGUGGUUCAGCUGAUCCCUGGAGCCCAUGAAAAAGACACCGGCAAGGAUCUCCGGAGACCGUGCCAAGAACCGACACAGGUGCCCCUGGGUGAGAAGCCCAAGGCGUCUGGGGUCACUCCAGGGCGAGGGAACUCGGCAAAUUAGCCCCGUAACUUCGGGAGAAGGGGUGCCUGAGGCCUUGGCCGCGAGGCUGGGGCCUUAGGUCGCAGUGACUAGGGGGUCCUGACAGUUUAAUAAAAACCUAGGUAGCCGCGAGACCGAAAGGUUUUGAACGGCUAUCGAAUCCUGGCCAGUGCGGGUACUCGAAAACCGGGUUCAACCGGUAUAAGGGCCCGUAAACGCCGGGAGUAACUCUGACUCUCCUUAAGGUAGCCAAAUGCCUUGUCGGGUAAG